rnacentral:rRNA from 1 species
UACGUAGGGACCGAGCGUUGUCCGGAAUCAUUGGGCGUAAAGAGCGUGUAGGCGGCUUGUUAAGUCUUGCGUGAAAUCUCGGGGCUCAACCCCGAGCGGUCGUGAGAAACUGGCGGGCUAGAGUGCGGGAGAGGAGAGUGGAAUUCCUGGUGUAGCGGUGAAAUGCGCAGAUAUCAGGAAGAACACCCGUGGCGAAGGCGGCUCUCUGGAACGCAACUGACGCUGAGACGCGAAAGCGUGGGGAGCAAACAGG